GGGCGCAUAGCUCAGCGGAUAGAGCAACCGCCUUCUAAGCGGUCGGUCGCAGGUUCGAAACCUGCUGCGCCCG
rfam:Rubidibacter lacunae KORDI 51-2 KR51_contig00008, whole genome shotgun sequence.